rnacentral:rRNA from 1 species
AUUGAACGCUGGCGGCAGGCCUAACACAUGCAAGUCGAACGAGUGGCGGAAGGGUGAGGAAUGUCUGGGAAACUGCCUGAUGGAGGGGGAUAACUACUGGAAACGGUAGCUAAUACCGCAUACCAUCAGAUGUGCCCAGAUGGGAUUAGCUAGUUGGUGGGGUAACGGCUCACCAAGGGGAAGAUCCCUAGCUGGUCUGAGAGGAUGACCAGCCCCCCUGGAACUGGGACACGGUCCAGCCCCCUACGGUAGGCAGCGGUGGGGAAUAUUGCACAAUGGGCGCGAGCCUGAUGCAGCCAUGCCGCGUGUAUGAGGAAGGCCUUCGGGUUGUAAAGUACUUUCAGCGGGGAGGCGUUACCCGCAGAAGAAGCACCGGCUAACUCCGUGCCAGCCGCCGCGGUAAUUC